rnacentral:rRNA from 1 species
GACGAACUGUCCUAACGUUGUUCGGAAUCACUGGGCUUAAAGGGCGCGUAGGCGGCCUGAUAAGUAGGGGGUGAAAUCCUGCGGCUUAACCGCAGGGCUGCCUUCUAAACUGUCAGGCUAGAGCACAGUAGAGGCAGGUGGAAUUCCCGGUGUAGCGGUGGAAUGCGUAGAGAUCGGGAAGAACAUCAGUGGCGAAGGCGGCCUGCUGGGCUGUUGCUGACGCUGAGGCGCGACAGCGUGGGGAGCAAACAGG